GUCGAGAAUCUUUCACAAUGGGGGCAACCCUGAUGGAGCGACGCCGCGUGGAGGAUAAGGUCUUCGGAUUGUAAACUCCUGUCAUGCGUGAACAAGGUUGCUUGGUUAAUACCUGGGCAAAUUGAUGGUAACGCAAGAGGAAGAGACGGCUAACUCUGUGCCAGCAGCCGCGGUAAUACAGAGGUCUCAAGCGUUGUUCGGAAUCACUGGGCGUAAAGGGUGCGUAGGUGGCGUGGUAAGUCAGAUGUGAAAGCCCGGGGCUCAACCUCGGAACUGCAUCCGAUACUGCCAUGCUAGAGUACUGGAGAGGUGACUAGAAUUCUCGGUGUAGCAGUGAAAUGCGUAGAUAUCGAGAGGAAUACCAAAGGCGUAGGCAGGUCACUGGACAGUUACUGACACUGAGGCACGAAAGCGUGGGGAUCAAACAGGAUUAGAAACCCUAGUAGUCC
rnacentral:rRNA from 1 species